ensembl:snoRNA SNORA70 Small nucleolar RNA SNORA70
CUGCCCUCCCGGGUGUGCAGUGGCUGCAAACAGUAGCCUUCUGGAUAGUGUAUGCAGCCUGUAGCUUGUAUAUAGGCUGCCCUAAGGGACCCUGGAGACAGGC